CAGAAGUCAUUAGCUUAACCUUCGGGAUGGCGAUGACCACGGUGUGGUUCAUGACUGGGGUGAAGUCGUAACAAGGUAGCCCUAGGGGAACCUGGGGCUGGAUCACCUCCUUACGUAAAGA
rnacentral:rRNA from 1 species